rnacentral:ncRNA from 1 species
GAUAUCAGGCUGAUCUCUCCCGAUGGUCCAUAUUGACGGGGAGGUUUGGCACCUCGACGUCGGCUCGUCGCAUCCUGAGGCUGUAGCGGGUCUCAAGGGUUGGUCUGUUCGCCCAUUAAAGCGGCACGUGAGCUGGGUCUCGACAAACACACGGGAGACUAUC